CGUCAAGAAAUGAACUUUGUGAUAAUCUACUCGUUCCCCAAACCUGAAAUAGUUCUAUCGUCUGCUUUCAAAAACCUUUUAAAUGAAUGUGACUUUUCGCCUGAAAUGUAUGCCAUACUGACAUUUUCAGCAUGUUUAACUAAAUGACAACUGCGUCUUCAAAACAACUGUUUACUUUCAGUUUGUGUUUAUCGUGACUUUCGAUGUAAAAUCUAGAGACGUUC
rnacentral:lncRNA from 1 species